rnacentral:tRNA from 1 species
GCGGACAUGGCGGAAUUGGCAGACGCACCAGACUUAGGAUCUGGCGGGCAACCGUGGAGGUUCAAGUCCUCUUGUCCGCACCA